UACGUAGGGUGCAAGCGUUGUCCGGAAUUAUUGGGCGUAAAGAGCUCGUAGGCGGUCUGUCGCGUCGGAUGUGAAAAUCCAGGGCUCAACCCUGGACCUGCAUUCGAUACGGGCAGACUAGAGUUCGGUAGGGGAGACUGGAAUUCCUGGUGUAGCGGUGAAAUGCGCAGAUAUCAGGAGGAACACCGGUGGCGAAGGCGGGUCCCUGGGCCGAAACUGACGCUGAGGAGCGAAAGCGUGGGGAGCGAACAGG
rnacentral:rRNA from 1 species